GUUUUACAUUUUUAACCUUGCUCACUUCAUACCCACGUCAACCGGUUACUUUUUGUUCUUGUAAUUUACUUUCUUUAUUUAUUUUUAAUAACCCAUCAAUCUCAUGUGUCAGGCAAGUGGAAUUUUUUCAGUUAUCGAAAAAAUAUACUGAGGCACAGCACAACAUUAUACUGAGGCACAACAUUAUCAGAUGUUGAAGCGAUUUCGCUCCAAGCCACCACAGGGUUCUCGUCUCCUCCGUGACAUUACAACGUUCUCUGCCGCUACUGGCUCUGUUCACCGUUGAAGCCAUCUCCAAUUAUCGAGCUAUCCUCCUUCGCAAAUCAGUUAUGGCAAGACCAAUCCCGGGCUCCAAUUGUUGUCGCACUGUACCGGACUCACCGUUGUCCACGUUUAAGCCAAGCUCGGAUCUCUUCCAAUGGUGAUUUCACAGGUACCACUACGGCGGAUGCGUUAAACAAUAUCCAGCACGCCUUGCGUUUUGCCAAUCAAGAUGUUGCACAAGCUGGAAAUUUGUCUUAGGUCCCGUUGUCGGAUGCUUUGGAUGCUGAAGAAUCCAACCCGUCUCCUAGUCCUAGGAACACAUCUCUCAAGACGGACGGGAUGAUCACCAAAAAACUGCAUCCAUUUCAGAAAUGUUUCCCUACCUACUGAGACAAGCCGGGAAACAACCAUGUCCUAAAGAUUUGAAGGCCCUAGCCAUUGAAAGACCAUGUAUCGUCCCCCCAGAACCACAACCAUUUCGAUUCUGGUAUCACCUCUAUUCUACUAAUUCAAGACCAUGCGGUUUCUGGUAGUGAUGUCUGCAAAUGCAUCACUCCCGAUGUCCUUGACCUUGAGGUCAGAAAAACUGCAGUCAUGAUCGAAAUGAAGAUAAUGUUCAAGUCCUAUGGUUCUAGCCACCCAACCUCUGCCUACUGUUAUAUCUACGUUUCUUUUUGUGUUGUUUUGGGGUGGGGUAUCACCCUUUAAUGUCUUAUGUGUUCCUUCGUUUUAAUGUAUAAUAAAAACUUUUUUAACUACCAA